GACGAACGCUGGCGGCGUGCUUAACACAUGCAAGUCGAACGGAAAGGCCCCUUUGGGGGUACUCGAGUGGCGAACGGGUGCGUAACACGUGAGUAACCUGCCCUUGACUUCGGGAUAACUUCAGGAAACUGGGGCUAAUACCGGAUAGGAAUCAUUGCUGCAUGGUGGGGGUUGGAAAGCUUCGGCGGUUUUGGAUGGACUCGCGGCUUAUCCGCUUGUUGGUGGGGUAGUGGCUUACCAAGGUGUUGACGGGUAGCCGGCCUCAGAGGGCGACCGGCCACAUUGGGACUGAGAUACGGCCCAGACUCCGACGGGAGGCAGCAGUGGGGAAUAUUGCACAAUGGGCGGAAGCCUGAUGCAGCAACGCCGCGUGCGGGAUGACGGCCUUCGGGCUGUAAACCGCUUUCAGCAGGGGCGAAGCUUGUGGUGACGGUACCUGCAGAAGAAGCACCGGCUAACUACGUG
rnacentral:rRNA from 1 species